rnacentral:rRNA from 1 species
UGUCUUGAAACCCAGGACCAAGGAGUCUAACAUGUGUGCAAGUGUUAGGGUGUGGAAACCCCAGCGCGAAAUGAAAGUAAAGGGCAGCGCAAGCUGUCUGAGGUAGGAAAUGCUGCGGUCUUCGGUCUGCGGCGUGGCACUAUCGACCGAUCAUGAACCUUCGUGGUGAAAGAUUUGAGUUUGAGCACAUAUGUUGGUACCCGAAAGAUGGUGAACUAUGCCUGAGUAGGGUGAAGCCAGGGGAAACUCUGGUGG